ensembl:lncRNA FAM245A family with sequence similarity 245 member A
AGAAAACAAAAGGAAGGCCCAGAGUGACUGGAGCGUGGCAUUUAGGGAUGAAGGUCAAGUCAGAAAAGUAUGUAAGAGUCUGGUCAAGUAACAGUCUCGUAGGCCAAGGUGCAGCUCAGUUGCCGUGAUGCUCCUUGAGUCAAUGAGCUCUUUGGUCUGCUCUUCUGCUCAAGCAGAAAAUGAUCUGCGCUUCACCCUUGAGAAGCUGACAAGAACCACAGGCUUCUUCGGGCAGGUGGUGGAACAUGGGUGUAUCCUGCAGGUUCUCACAGUAUCUCCCUUUGCUCAGGUGACGGAGGCUUGGGGUUUUCCAGCUCUUGACCUAAAAUUCCUGAAUGAUUGUUUUCAAAUUUCUUAAUGAAUAAUAGGAUGAACUUGCCACCCCUGUCAGGGGGGAAUGGGGUUCCUGAGAGCUGAGAGGCCAGGAUCCAGAUCCUGAGCCUCUUCACCAAGCAGAUGCUGUAGAGCAAAGGCAGCAACUAUCUGUCUGUCUAUCUAUCUAUCUAUCUAUCUAUCUAUCUAUCUAUCUAUCUAAUUUCCCCUUCCCUUUAAGGAAAUCCUCAGGACUAGGUGAGAUCUUAGAUCUAGUGGAGAAUCUGAGUUGCUCCAAGCAAAACCUCAGGAUCCUGCAAUCUGAAAAGGUAGAACCAAGGCAAAUGUGGGCAGCAAUACCCAGAAGUUGGGUACUGAGCCUGUUAGGGAGCAUUUUUUUCAGGGGAGUGAAGUAAAUAAUGAGGUGUAGAGAGCAGCGAGAAUAAGAAGCCAAAUCACAGACUGCAAAAUCACACAGCAUCUGUCCUUUCUCCCUGGUCAGAGAGAGUAUGAUGGGUAGUCUCCAAUAUAGAAAGCCCAUUGUGUCCUUCAGCUCCCCCAUACAGUCACAGAACAGGCCUGAUUAUGAAAUUUCUGUUCUCUUUAGGCUCUAGCCUGAUUUUCUGGCUCAUAAGGCCAAAGGGAGCCGGAAAGGUCCCCACGGCAGGACUCAUGGUGGAGAGAGAAUGGUCUGGAGGAUUCAGGCCUCUGCACACUGUGUCUGGGUCCCUCCUUAAAGAAUGAUAAAGACAAGCAAAGAGCUUGAAGCAGCCUGGAGUCCAGCCAGAAACCUUUAACUGAGCUUUAAAGGAGAUGGUCACAACACUUUUCAGAAUACUGGCAAAGGCCUCCUGUGGCCAGGUUUGUCCUGGGAUGAGCAAAAUUUAAUGUUAACCUGCUGUAUCUUUGCUUUUAAUAUAUCUGCUUGCCCACCACAAUGACGUUAUGGUUAAUUUCACCAAUUUGGUAACCUGCCUCAUGGGAAGUACGAAAGUAAGCAAGGGCCAGGUGUGGUGACUCACGCCUGUAAUCCCAGUACUUUGGGUGGCUGAGGCAGGUGGAUUGCUUGAGCCCAGGAGUUCAAGACCAACCUGGGCACCAUGACAAAACCCCGUCUCUAAAAAAUAUACAAAAAUUAACCAGGGGUGGCAGUGCAUGGCUGUAAUCCCAGCUACUUGGAGGCUGAGGUGGGAGAAUCUCUUGAGCCUGGGAGGCAGAGGUUGCAGUGAGCUGAGAUCACACCACUGCAUUCCAGCCUGGGCAACGAAGUGAGACCCUGUCUCAAAAAAAAAAAAAAAAAAAAAAAGAGAAAGACAGUGAGGGUGUCCUGUGAAUCAAAUCUUUGAAUGGAUGUUUUCUUAACUAACCAAGACCUCUGUAAGAAUUCUGUCUUUGAUUCCACAAUAAAGUGGUGUGAAAUUACUAUAAGCAAA